GCUGGGUGCAGUGGUCCAUGUCUGCAAUCCCAGCUACAUGGGAGGCUGAGGUAGGAAGAUCAUUUGAGCUCAGGACUCCAAGACCUCCUUGAGCAACAAACAUAUCAAGACCCUUUCUCAA
rnacentral:sRNA from 1 species